CCCUAUGUCUUCCUGGAGUCUACAGAGCUAUUGGGUUUGAAGCACUCCUGAACCGUCUAGUAGAACCCUAUGUCUUCCUGGAGUUUACAGAAAAAGAGACUCAGGGAUUUUCCCAAAGCACACUGCAAGUUAGGGGCAGGAAUGACAGCCCAGACCUUCUGGUUUCCAGUCCAGGGCUCAACUGCCUAAACAGUGGCAUCUCUUCAGGCAGGCCCUGUCAGAGGCAGAUUAGGGGACUUGUCCAAAGUUACUCAACUAUGAAGAGUCAAGAUUCAAAUCCAGAGACAUCUG
rnacentral:lncRNA from 1 species